rnacentral:rRNA from 1 species
CCUACGGGUGGCAGCAGUGAGGAAUAUUGGUCAAUGGACGCAAGUCUGAACCAGCCAUGCCGCGUGCAGGAAGACGGCUCUAUGAGUUGUAAACUGCUUUUGUACGAGGGUAAACGCAGAUACGCGUAUCUGUCUGAAAGUAUCGUACGAAUAAGGAUCGGCUAACUCCGUGCCAGCAGCCGCGGUAAUACGGAGGAUUCAAGCGUUAUCCGGAUUUAUUGGGUUUAAAGGGUGCGUAGGUGGUCGGAUAAGUUAGAGGUCAAAUGUCGGGGCUUAACCCCGUGCCUGCCUGUGAUACUGUUAGACGAGAGAGCGGAUGAGGCAGGCGGAAUGAGUGGUGUAGCGGUGAAAUGCUUAGAUAUUACGCAGAACACCGAUUGCGAAGGCAGCUUGCUAAGCCGCAUCUGACGCUGAUGCACGAAAGCGUGGGUAGCGAACAGGAUUAGAUACCCCGGUAGUC